UACAGAGGGGGCAAGCGUUGUUCGGAAUUACUGGGCGUAAAGGGCGCGUAGGCGGCCUUCUAAGUCGAACGUGAAAUCCCUGGGCUCAACCCAGGAACUGCGUCCGAUACUGGAAGGCUUGAAUCCGGGAGAGGGAUGCGGAAUUCCAGGUGUAGCGGUGAAAUGCGCAGAUAUCGGGAAGAACACCCGUGGCGAAGGCGGCUCUCUGGGACGGUACUGACGCUGAGACGCGAAAGCGUGGGGAGCGAACAGG
rnacentral:rRNA from 1 species